UACACUCGUUCACAUCACAAUAACCAGUUUAACCUACAAAUAUUGCAUGCCCAGGAACUUAAAACUUCACGUACAUAACCAUACAAUAUUCCACACAAUCACAAAUAUUGCGAUUGAAAAAUAAAACGCUCUUCCAAGUUAAAGCUAGCUACUCUUGGAUACCACAGAACAUGCUCUUCAACAUAGGAAGAAGUCAUCAACGGUGUUCUAUCAACAACACAAGCUCCAUUCACCUACAAGAACAGAAUGGAAAAUCAAGUACUUGGAUCGUUCAAGCAGAUUACAACCAACAUAUAUAUGUAGAAGUAGAUCAGGAAAUGUGAUGGAGCAAUCGGACAACAAAUACAUUAAGUAAACAGCCCAACCGAUGAGUGAUGACGACAAGCAAAGAGUAUAAACCCAGGUUUGGACAUAAAUAGUGUCAACUCAAGCAGAACAUAAUAAGGCAGUAAACUCAAGCAGAACAUUAUUAAGCACGACGAAAGGGACCAUCCAAUUAAAUUCGAUUCUCAUCUUCUUCAGUAAGGACAGGCAAAACAUCCCAGCAUAUAUCGAGUCGAUGAAUUAUUCUAGAAAUAACCAAAUUAGAAACAUCCCUCAUUGUUCCAUUUAACCAUACUACAAGACUGUAGAAGAAUCACUCUUGGUGAAUCAAAUCAUAACAAAUCCAGCAACAGAUACAAGAGGCACAUCAGGCCUAGCCAUUUUCGUUUCAGUAAUUUAGAAAGAGGGGCGAUGGGGCACAUAACCUUGAGGCCCUGUUAUGGGGUUGUGUUUGAUGAAGGUUGCCCUUUGGGGCGGCAGCUGCAGCUCCGCCAGAUGCAGUAGCAGCACCUCCAACCGGCACGACGGCGGCGACAACACAAAUGGUCACCUGUGUGACAUUUCAGAUCAUCAUUACAGAAUUUUAUUUAUUUAUUCAAGACACAAGCAGCAAAGAUAGUGUCUACCUUC
rnacentral:lncRNA from 1 species